CCCCCCACCGACCCCUACCACACACAUACACACAUACCUCCACCUCCACUUCUGAUGCAGAGCUGUGUGCAGCGGAGCUCGCUGUCAUGGUCGCGCAGCAUGAAGUGGAAAUCCUCCCACGUCAGCUCCUCCUUAUCCUGGAAGCCCGACUCCCGGAACAUGGACUCCACCACCUCAGUCAGCUGGGCCUUGGACAGACAGUUGUUGGAGAUCUCGAUGAAGGACCUGGGGAAGAUACAGCAGUCUGUCAUCUGGCAAGGGAGUCUCAGAACUGGAAGGGCCCACCCCCAUACCGCAUCAUGGUGAAGAAUUCAUCCUUGGAGAGGAAGCCAUUUGCAUCAAGGUCAUACAUGGUGAACAUCAGGCGCGACUUGUCCUCUGGGGAGCCUGAGAAGAGAAAGGAGGAUGCAGGUCAGCUCUGUGCUGGAAGACUGCUGGUUCCUGAAGUGGCCCACUUGCCCCCUACCUUUCAUGAAGACCACCAGGAUGUCCAGAAACUCCCGGAAGGACAGGUAGCCAUUGCCAUCUUUAUCAGCAAGAGAGAACAUGGACUCCACAAACAUGUCCUGGGGCUUGAGGCCGAGGGACUCGGCAAACUCAGCUCUGCUCAGCUCGCAUGUCAGGGCCUCCCGCACCUUCUGUGAGGAGUCCAGGGGCAGAGUCCCUGCAUCUGCCUGGUUGAUGUCUAGCACCUGCACUCAGACAGCAGCAGAAGGAGAGAGAGAAGGAGGAGAAGUAGCUGCUACUGAUCCAGAGGCCACACUUUGAGAACCACUGAUGUAGACUAUCUCACUAAAUCCUCAAAACAACCAGG